rnacentral:rRNA from 1 species
UACGUAGGGUGCGAGCGUUAAUCGGAAUUACUGGGCGUAAAGCGUGCGCAGGCGGUUUUGUAAGACAGGCGUGAAAUCCCCGGGCUUAACCUGGGAAUUGCGCUUGUGACUGCAAGGCUAGAGUGCGUCAGAGGGGGGUAGAAUUCCACGUGUAGCAGUGAAAUGCGUAGAGAUGUGGAGGAAUACCGAUGGCGAAGGCAGCCCCCUGGGACGUGACUGACGCUCAUGCACGAAAGCGUGGGGAGCAAAC